AUGGCUGCCAACUCGUUCUCGGCGCCGGCGCAGGCGGUGAAGGGCGCGGCGAAAACGUUGGCUCACCGCCGCCAGGCCGUGGUUGGGUUCCUGUUUGCUCUCAUCGUCAUCCUCGUGCUCCACACCACCGUGGUGUUUGGCCCGUCCCGGCCCGCGAAUGACAUUGUCGUUCUGCAGUCCACAUCGGGCGAGCAAAAUGCCAGGGCCUCUUCUCCUCCAGCGUUGUUGGCACCUAACAAUUCUAUUCAAGAUAACGGGCAGAAGGACGAUGUAGCCAAGAAUGAUAGGGAAACAAGGGGCCAGUUAGGCCAAACAGGAAAAAAUGAUGCUAGUGACGACAAGACGCAGGAAGAGCUCAUUCGCCAAGAACUCGAUCGAGACGUCAAACGUGGCCGCGUGCAUGCAGGUGCUCCGCGCAAGCCCAUCUGCGACCUCUCUGAUCCUAGGUACGACAUCUGCGAGAUCACCGGAGACGCCCGUGCCAUCGGCGCCAACCGUACCGUCCUCUAUGUCCCGCCAGCCGACGAGCGCGGCACCGACGGCCCGGAGUGGGCCAUCAAGGACCAGUCCCGCAAGCAACUGGGGGACAUCAAGGAGGUGAAUGUCAAGACCCUGAGCGCCGCCCAGUCCUUGGUGGCACCGGAGUGCACCUCUCGGCACACUGUCCCGGCCGUCGUGUUCGCCAUGAAUGGGAUCAUAGGCAACCCAUGGCACGACUUGAGCGAUCUCCUGAUCCCGCUCUUCAUCACCACCCGCGCCUAA
rnacentral:rRNA from 1 species